rnacentral:rRNA from 1 species
CAGUCGCCGCGGGAAUACAGAGGAUGCAAGCGUUAUCCGGAAUUAUUGGGCGUAAAGGGCUCGCAGGCGGUUUCUUAAGUCUGAUGUGAGAGCCCCCGGCUCAACCGGGGAGGGUCAUUGGAAACUGGGAAACUUGAGUGCAGAAGAGGAGAGUGGAAUUCCACGUGUAGCGGUGAAAUGCGUAGAGAUGUGGAGGAACACCAGUGGCGAAGGCGACUCUCUGGUCUGUAACUGACGCUGAGGAGCGAAAGCGUGGGGAGCGAACAGGAUUAGAUACCCCCGUAGUCCCUGUCUCUUAUAC